GGAAACCACAACUACAAAUUGAAAGGAAACCUGCCCUUCAGGAUGUGCAGGAAACAGUAGACUGAAAGAAACUUCUUUACCUCUGGCAACCACAAGCUGUGUUGCUUUGAUGUAGAAGAGGAAGCAUAUUGCCAGUAGAUGCAGCAAAGAAAGGACUGACCUUCAACCAAAUAUUUAAGAAACACACAGAGUUUGAUGUGCUCCACACUGCAUGAUUCAGUGCAAAGGAAGCAUACCUUCAACAGGCAGCCAUCAGGAAACAAAGAUACAGCAGCACCAGAAGGAACGCCCCCCUGUAGAAUCUGAAAGUCUGAUUCAGAUUCUAGCUUUGUUUCAGGAGCCAUUUCAAGUCUCUAUGACUAGGAAAUCAGAUUCUGGCAUCCAUUUCUGUACCUCCAAAACCUUCUGAGCCUGAAGCUGGGGAUCUUCAGCAUGGAUUUUGAAGGUCUUACAGAUGUUUGGCAGAUGCUGUGUUUGUGAUAAAACUGUAAAAUUAAUCUCAACUUUUGGAUCCUUACUAAGACAAUCUUUAAAUCUUUGGUUUGUAUCAUUAGUGGUUUAGUGUUUGUUAUGAAAGGUAAUAUAUCUGGACUCAUUUAAUCUUAACUUCCAUAUCUUCAUAUCUUUUUGCUGUGAGAGCUUCCUGUUUCAUUAUUUGAUACUCAUUACUAAUUAUGGUACAUCUUCUUUUUAAGAUUUUUUUUAAGAGGGAGAUUCUUUGACAUGUUUGUAGUGAAUUUUUGUUCUUAUUAUCUAUUGUGCUGUCUCUAGAUGAUGUCCAUGCUUUCAGUUGCUUAUUUUCAUUUCCUCACAAUACAUUUUCUUUUUUUUACAUGCACCACUGCUAAUUGGAGAAUCAUAGGAUAUUUUUAUGUUGGAGGGCAACUUCAUCUUAUCACAGUCCCCUUGCAGUGGCCAUGGCUGCCAGAUUAGGCUUCCCAGGAUCCCAUCCAGCCCAGCCUUGGAUGUCUCCAGGGAUGGGGCAUUCAGAAAUAAUUUUGAGGUGUAGAGAAGUCAAACAGCUCAUGUCCUGCACUAUUUUCACAGACCGACUGGCACUUGUAUAGGAACUGCUGAGUCACAGCCUGAACUUCUGGUUGACCACCUGAGGUGAGCAGUCAGUCAGCCAUGUGAGCACAGGUGAAUGCAAUUCAGCUGUGUGAAUGGAAGGGGUGGAGCCUUCAUUUUUGAUUGUCUCUUUCCACCAUGAUAAUCUUUUUAACUAAUGUGUAAAAUAUAAUGCCGCUCUGCUAACUGUACUUUUGUUAAUUGUACGGCACUAAAAAAGAAACAAAUAAAAACAGAUCAUAAAUCAUAACAGGGAUGUCCUAGGGCUGUGAAGAACUUUCCCAUGGGAAAGAACUAAGUAAGUGACAAAGGGGAAAUACAUUCUCUGUCCUCCUAUUUGUGUCUUCCUAGACAAGAGAGAGGGACAGAAGGAUGUUCUCAUAAUUCAAAAGCUUUGUGUAGUAUAGAGAAGUACAGCAGUUAAGAACAAUACAGUGUAGAUCAUUAAGAUAAGAGGAAGUAAUCAAAUGAACUAAUUUACUAACGUCCAGGAAGUUAUUGCUCAGUAAUUUGCAGUUUCUUUGUUCAAUUGUGAAAUGCACAGGUUUAAUGUACUAUGUUUUAGUUUUUAGAACUAUGGAUUUUGAUCCUUUCCUCUGUUAGUCUGAAGCUGAUGGGAAAAUUAAAUUUUAACUAUCAAUUUGAUUAAUGCAGAUGCGUGAUGUGGUUAUGGGCAGAUAUUGGUUAAUGCCUUUCUUUGAGCCCUUGUGCCCACAAGAUGGUAGGCAUCACUCUAUGGUGGGGUAGCUCUGGCAUCUGAAACAGCAUGAUUUUUCAGUAAGAUAUAAUCCUGUUUACUCUGGUCAUUACAAUACAAGAACAGAGCACUAAUGCUUGGUGGAUUCUAAUCCUUGAUAUAUUUGUUUUGCUAUUCAUUAUCCACUAGGGGGAGCUGCUCUAGAAAUAUUGAAAAUAGGUUUUUUUCUUGUGAAUUUUGUCUUCUGGAUUUAAUUCUUUCUCAUGUUAAGCCUAAGGAAAUAGGAAUGGAAAUCCUGUGUUUGAAGCAUGCGUAUUGAUGCAAAAUAUUAAUCUUAAUACAUGCA